AAUAAGAUCAUUUUUUAGUUUUUUAAUACAAUAUUUUGACUCUUCGUUUUAUUUGAAAUUUUUUUCUAAUUAAUAUUUUUAUUCUUACUAGAUAAUAAAACAUGAAUAGUACUUUAUGUGUGACUAAUUUUAAAGUUUUUUAUAAAUUUUUCAAAUAUGACGAACAGUCAAACAUUGGACACGGAAAAAC
rnacentral:pre_miRNA from 1 species